AUGAGGGCUUAUGCAGACAACAAGGUUGGUACGAUUGUCAACCCUGCGCUCGGAACUAGCUUUGACACGGUUGAAGAGGUAUAUGAGUUUUACAACCAAUACUCAUGGGAGACGGGGUUCGGCAUUAGGUAUGCCAAAGGCAGGUUGAACGUCCAUCGGAAAAAAUGCAUGCAGGAGUUUGUGUGCGCGUGUGCGGUGAGGAUGAUUCAUUAA
rnacentral:rRNA from 1 species